rnacentral:rRNA from 1 species
UACUAGAGUAAUGGAGGGGUAACUGGAAUUCUCGGUGUAGCAGUGAAAUGCGUAGAUAUCGAGAGGAAGACCAACGGCGAAGGCAGGUUACUGGACAUUUACUGACGCUGAGGCUCGAAGGCUAGGGUAGCGAAAGGGAUUAGAUACCCCUGUAGUCCUAGCAGUAAACGAUGUGCGCUUGGUGUGGGAAGGUUCGACCCUUUCCGUGCCGGAGCUAACGCGUUAAGCGCACCGCCUGGGGAGUACGGUCGCAAGACUAAAGCUCAAAGAAAUUGACGGGGACCCGCACAAGCGGUGGAGUAUGUGGCUUAAUUCGAUGCAACGCGAAGAACCUUACCUAGGCUUGACAUGUAUCGCUAAGCAGUUGAAAGGCUGUGACUCUUCGGAGACUUUACACAGGUGCUGCAUGGCCGUCGUCAGCUCGUGUCGUGAGAUGUUCGGUUAAGUCCGGCAACGAGCGCAACCCCUGUGACUAGUUACUAACAUUAAGUUGAGGACUCUUGUCAGACUGCCCAGAUCAACUGGGAGGAAGGUGGGGAUGACGUCAGGUCAGUAUGGCCCUUACGCCUAGGGCUGCACACGUACUACAAUGUCCAGUACAAUGAGAACCGAUACCGCGAGGUGGAGGAAAUCUACAAAACUGGGCUCAGUUCGGAUUGGAGGCUGCAACUCGCCUCCAUGAAGUUGGAAUCGCUAGUAAUGGCACAUCAGCUACGGUGCCGUGAAUACGUUCCCGGGUCUUGUACACACCGCCCGU